UCAACCAGCAAACAGCAACAGGUGGAAUCAGAGAGCAUCCCAGCUUCAACCACCGCAGUCAGGUCAAAUCUACAGCGGACGAAACCUUGAAGCACAUCCCAAAAUAAUAAUGAAGAUCUUUGUCAUCCUCCUUCUGUGUUUUGGUAACCACAGCUGCAGAGACAACCACAGCUCCUUCAACAACAACCGCAGCUGCUCUAACAACAACAGCAGCUCCAACAACAACCAUAGCUGCUCCAACAACAACAGCUGAGGCAGCGACAACCACAGCUGUAGCGACAACAACAACAGCUGCUCCAACAACCAAAGCAGCUCCACCAGCGACAACAACAGCUGCAACAGCGACAACCACAACUGCUCCAACAACAACAGCUGCAGCAGCAACAA